UCUCUGGUGGUUCAGUGGCUAAGACGCUGUGCUCCCAAUGCAGGGUACCUGGGUUCGAUCCCUGGUCAGGGAG
rnacentral:tRNA from 1 species